CAACUCGACUCCUCUCUUGUCUUUCCGUAACAUUUGUGAUUUCAAUUUCAAUUGCUUUACGUAGUGUUUGCUAAUUUUAGCUCCUACAGUCUUAACCCUUUGAAUCCGUUUUGUUCUAUAAACAUUAACAGAUUGGAAUUGGAAUUUUAUAAACGUGGGAAGCUUGUGAGUGUGUACAUUGAGUUUAUUGGUUGCGAUUGGUAAACGUCAAACUCAUUGUGACGAGUGGCGAGGCUCGACUUGGUUGUUCU